rnacentral:rRNA from 1 species
UGGGGGAUAUUGCACAAUGGGCGAAAGCCUGAUGCAGCGACGCCGCGUGGGGGAUGAAGGCCUUCGGGUUGUAAACUUCUUUUGCUCUGAACAAGGCGCACCAUGGGGUGUGUUGAGUGUAGGGGUUGAUUAGCGCCGGCUAACUACGUGCCAGCAGCCGCGGUAAUACGUAGGGCGCGAGCGUUGUCCGGAAUUAUUGGGCGUAAAGGGCUUGUAUGUGGCUGGUUGCGUCUGUCGUGAAAGCUCAUGGCUUAACUGUGGGUUUGCGGUGGGUACGGGCUGGCUUGAGUGCAGUAGGGGAGGCUGGAAUUCCUGGUGUAGCGGUGGAAUGCGCAGAUAUCAGGAGGAAUACCGGUGGCGAAGGCGGGUCUCUGGGCUGUUACUGACACUGAGGAGCGAAAGCAUGGGGAGCGAACAGG